rnacentral:misc_RNA from 1 species
CAAUCAAACGAACUCAUAGCUGCUCUUGGACGUGUGUCAUGUAAGAUGUCCAGAUUUGUAUUAUACGGAAGGGAGGUACAAUGUUACAAGGCCUUAGCGUCUGACUACUGAUCCUGAGGUUGCGGCUUUGAAUCCCGAUUAGUGCGGAAUUUGACAACAUGUUAACCAUGUUUAUAGCUUUGCCCUGAUGAUUGGUUUUACAUUGGCAUUCGCUGUGAAAAAAAGUAUUAUCUGUUGUUAAGUGUGCUUUAGAACAAAAGUAUCGCGCAAGUUUAAGAAUAUACAUUUUCAUUAUUUUUACGUUUAACUUAAUAAAUACACAUAGCUCGUAUUUAUAAUAUGAUUAAAAAGCGCAAUAUUUUUAUAAUCAGAUAUUUGUUGAAUAACAUAAGUAUAAAGGUACAGUUGUUUAAUCAUAAAUGAUUGAACAGAUACUAUUUAAUAAAAUAUUUUUUCGAUCCAACAGGUGUUUUUGACACAAAGAGUUAAAGUUAUCGGAAUUCCGGUGAUUGUGAAAUGUUGUGGUAUGCACAGUAUGAACAAGCUGAUUUGGUGAAAUCUGAUGUGUUGAAUGCAUUUAGUGUCUUUGUCGACUUGGAACGUACAGAGGAAAUAUUUGUGUAUGAAGACGGAUAUCGGAAGAAACUUCUAAAACUGAAAGGCACCGUACCUGUCCACUGUGCAGGUUCGGAGUACAAUGUCCCAAUUUCUAUAUGGCUAAGCAAACGACAUCCAUUUAGACGACCCAUAGUGUAUGUAACACCUACCUCUCGGAUGCAUGUCAUGUCUGGCAACUUCGUUGACAUGAAUAGGAAAGUUAAUAUACCAUACCUAACUGACUGGAAUUACCCGAGCUCCGAUCUGUUGAGUUUGAUACCAAAUUAUGACAACUGUAUUCUCGGAUGAACUUCCCGUGCGUGGUAAAUCUUUAUCCAAAUCUUGCAAUUGUGAUAUGUCACAGAGUGCACGUGCUGCUUUAAAUCCAGAAGGCCAAGAAAGUGAAGGACGUGUGCACAGUGCUGGAACGGAACAUGGAAGAAACAGUCCAAGAGUUUCAUCUGAUGAUAUAGCUUCGUUUGAACUCGCCGGUGAAGUACAUGGUAGACUAAGCUCACGUGAUCCGAACAGAUCCACGUAGAAGAUUGAUACUUCCUCACGAUGAUGCCUAGAUAUUAUAGAUGAAGCUAUUGCUAUAAGGCUAUUUUCCGACAAAAAACUGCAGCAAGUACCAGAUGAUUAUAACAUAGGACCUAAAUUUAUAAUAUGUUUAAAAUUCCUGUUGUGAUGUACGAACAUCAACUAAUAAUAAUGCAUUGAUUUAAAUAUUAUAAGCAUAUUGGUAAUUGAGAAACAAUAAAUAUGUCCCUUUAUUUUAUCAGUUAAUAAAAUAUUGGCAUGAGUCCGGAUGCGUAAUAAUUAAAUCACGAAUGAGUAGCACGAGAGAAGUCAUUAUUUACAUUCAUGCGUUUGAUACAAUUGUUCAUGGACAAACGGAGUGGUAUAAAUCUUAUUUAUCAGGUUAUAAUAGGUUACAAAUACAUUGUUUGCAUUCAAUGUGGCGUUCUUCAGGGAAGUAUACUAGAACCUAGCUACAUGAGUGUUAUGUCGAUGUAUGAGUAUAACUAUGUAUAAUUCUGACAUGGCUCGAUUUGAUUUCCAGUUAAACAAAGAAGGAUAUCAAGCUCUGCAUAUUCUGCGAUAAACAGCGGUUAACGCGCGGACCAGUAAAAGUGCAUUAUGACGUCAAUUAUGACGUCAAAUUGCCGCAUGUCAAUGAGCAUGUCAGAAGGAAAACAAUCAAGGCCUUCUUGUGAUUUAUCGUCUAAUUUACCACGGUUCAUCGUUCAGAUGCUUCAGUAUUUAGAUGCCCUCGUGGUUCAAUUCCUACGCAUCUGAACUCUGAACCGUGGUAAAUCAGACGAUAAACCACUCGAAGGCCUUGAUUAUUUGUUAAGUGAAAACUGUUACUAAGUUUCAUAUGCAGAUCAUAAUUAUGCAUAUCAUUAUGCUGUCUUUUUUUCUGAUGAAAAGAUCCUAAAACCAUUAUCAAUGUUCUUGAAUAUGAAUAAAUUGUAGUAUUGUUAAUGAGUUGUCGAAAAUAAAUCUUUACCUCUUUGUUAAA